rnacentral:lncRNA from 1 species
CCGACAGUUACACGGGGCCACGCCUCUCCUUCCCACUCCUGCCUGACCAUGCAACUGCCCUGGUAGAAGCAUUCAGACUGAAACAAAGUCUCGCUCUGUCAUCCAGGCUGGAGUACAGUGGCGCGAUCUCGGCUCACUGCAACAUCCGCUUCCUGGGUUCAAGCGACUCUCCUGCCUCACCCUCCUGAUAGCAGCUCCAUGCUCGCUACGUCUUGAACC